rnacentral:rRNA from 1 species
GAUGAACGCUGGCGGCGUGCCUAAUACAUGCAAGUCGAGCGAACGGACGAGAAGCUUGCUUCUCUGAUGUUAGCGGCGGACGGGUGAGUAACACGUGGAUAACCUACCUAUAAGACUGGGAUAACUUCGGGAAACCGGAGCUAAUACCGGAUAAUAUUUUGAACCGCAUGGUUCAAAAGUGAAAGACGGUCUUGCUGCCACUUAUAGAUGGAUCCGCGCUGCAUUAGCUAGUUGGUAAGGUAACGGCUUACCAAGGCAACGAUGCAUAGCCGACCUGAGAGGGUGAUCGGCCACACUGGAACUGAGACACGGUCCAGACCCCUACGGGAGGCAGCAGUAGGGAAUCUUCCGCAAUGGGCGAAAGCCUGACGGAGCAACGCCGCGUGAGUGAUGAAGGUCUUCGGAUCGUAAAACUCUGUUAUUAGGGAAGAACAUAUGUGUAAGUAACUGUGCACAUCUUGACGGUACCUAAUCAGAAAGCCACGGCUAACUACGUG